rnacentral:rRNA from 1 species
AUUGAACGCUGGCGGCAGGCCUAACACAUGCACGUCGAGCGGAGCGGCGGACGGGUGAGUCAUGCCUAGGAAUCUGCCUGGUAGUGGGGUAUAACGUCCGGAAACGGGCGCUAAUACCGCAUACUAUCAGAUGAGCCUAGGUCGGAUUAGCUAGUUGGUGGGGUAACGGCCUACCACGGGGACGAUCCGUAACUGGUCUGAGAGGAUGAUCAGUCACACUGGAACUGAGACACGGGCCAGACUCCUACGGAAGGCAGAAGUGGGGAAGAUUGGACAAUGGGCGAAAGCCUGAUCCAGCCAUGCCGCGUGUGUGAAGAAGGUCUUCGGAUUGUAAAGCACGUUAAGUUGGGAGGCGUUACCAACAGAAUAAGCCCCGGCUAACUUCGUGCCAGCCGCCGCGGUAAUAC